rnacentral:lncRNA from 10 species
GUGGCAACCCGCUCCGGUGUCCUUCCAUGCUGUGGAGGCUCUGUUGUUUCGCUCUUUCUACUGCUUACUCUUCGGGUCCACACUGCUUUUAUGAGCUGUAACACUCACCCUGAAGGUUUGCAACUUGACUCCUGAAGCCAGCAAGACCACGAGCCCCAGGGAGGAACGAACAACUCCAGACGCGCUGCCUUAAGAGCUGUAACACUCACCGAGAAGGUCUGCAGCUUCACUCCUGAGCCAGCGAGGCCACGAACCCACCAGAAGGAAGAAACUCUGAACACAUCCGAACAUCAGAAGGAACAAACUCCAGACGUGCCACCUUAAGAGCUGUUAACACUCACCGCGAGGGUCCGCGGCUUCAUUUUUGAAGUCAGUGAGACCAAGAACCAACCAAUUCGGGACACAAUACCAACUCUUUCAUGCCAGGAGAAGCCUCCUUAAAAAAUUUCGGUGAUUAACAAAGAUCAGCAGCAACACCUAGCCAACCCACAGCUUACUUACAGCAGACAUGUGAAUCAAUCUAGCCAAGACUAAAAGAAUCACUAAACCAAUAUGUCAUCCUAUGAAUAAUAGUAAACGUUUGUCUUAAACUAUCAUAUUAUAGGAAAAAAACCUGAUAUAUGAAAUUACCCUGUGAGUUUAUAUUAAAGAUACACUUACCUUCUCCAACAAGAGUUGUAACAAUUUUUUUCUUAUUGCAAACAAUGCUAUGGGGAUACUUAUAGUAGCAUUUCUGCUCAACGUAAUAUUUUAUUGUAGCACUGUUUGCAAUAAGAAAAUAAUUGGAAACUGCAGAAACGAUCACUAAUGAGGUAUGGGUUAAAAAUCUUUUAAGUUGAAAGCAACAAAUGUGACAAUUAAAAGGCAUAAAUUAGACAUAUAUUUUACAUUAUCACAACUUGUAUUACUAAAUGAUAAAAAUGAGUUGCAAAAUAAUAUAUAGAACUUUAUAUUUUAUAAAUAUGCACAUGAAAAAAUGUUUGUAAGUAUGCACAAACUGUUAACAGUUAUUACUUCAGAGGAGUGAAAAAUAGGUUGAAAAUGAGAAUGACUUUCAUUUUUAGUAUACUUAAGUACAUUUUCAAUUUUCAAUUAUAUGCAGUGAUUUUGUCCUUUAAAAAAUAGGAUGGACUUUUUUAAAUAUAAGGAAGACAUUUUCUGUGAAACAAUAAAUUACUCAGUAUAUACUUAAUGUGCAUGAAGUAUGAGGUAGGAAUACAUCCACUGACAUUCUUGCAUUUGCAUACCACUUCCCCAAAUAUGAACUCACUUCUCUGACUUUGCUAGGGCUGAGGAAUCAUCAUUACAAUAUCUGUAAAACUGGAUUUAUUAAGUGCAUCCAUAUUGUUUAUGAGUCAUAGAAAAUAUGUUCAUUUUCCUAUCCAUGUUAAAGGCUGCUUGGAGGAUUGACGGAGCAUUGCUUAGAAAAUGUUCUGGAAUUCAGAUGAAGCUGUGUUAGUAUAAAUCAUUACUGGUUACCAUAUACUCACACAUACUUAGGGGAUAAAGAUCAGAAAUUACUUAAAUGUACUUUGUCUUCUUCAAUCUUUCCGUAGCAGCACAUGGGUCAAAAUCUCCUGAAAGUUGAGCAGGGGAGCUGUAGAAGAAUUCCUCCUUUUCUCGCAGAUGAAAUCUUAUGAUAUAGCAGGGGUUACCUGGCCAAGAAGGUAAGUCUGUCAUCCAGCAGUGCUUGCAGAGGGACUAAAAUGAAUUAGGAUGUUCAGAGUUGUAUGUUAGGUGCUGCAGAAAGGAAGAAAAGAUCUCAUCCAUAAAGGGGUCUUUGACCCUGGGGAAUGGCAGUUGGCAAUUACGCUGCUUCUCAGUUCCAUCCUGUGUUGCCCCAGGUUUACUUCAUGGUCACCCAAACUUUCUUUGCCAUGUCUUUUGUAAGACUUCUACUUAUUACUAUGUAUCAUCAUCUUUUGGUAAAUAUAAAUUCUGGCUAGGAGAACUAGGACAGACAGGGGAGCUGUCUGCACACUGUGAUUAGGCAUGCAUCAAUUCAGAGCUCCAUGCUGCUAGCUCCUGUAUUCUGCUGAGCUCCCAGGGAGGAAAUAGGAAAAGGGAGGAGAACUCACCUGUCCAAUUACAACCUACUCUGCAGUACAAAGUACUGCAAAUUCCACACAGUGGAUCUCUGUGAUUGAAGGAGCACUUGUAAAAUCUGAGACAUCCUAGUUUUUGAUUUGGUAUCCAAAACAAAUCUGAACUUUUAAUUAAAUAUUGUUCUUUUUCCUUCUUGUUUCCAAAUGAAUAGUUACACCAGCAAACUUAUUGGCUGAAAAGUUGUUUCCUACAUUUGCACUUUGAAGUGCAUCAGACAGUGGUGUGUUUGGAUGUGGGUCUUGUUGAGUUUGGUUAGUGAGUUAUUAUUGGUUGGGAUUGCAGUGGUCCUGCCAAUGGAAGAGAAGUAGGUGUGCCGAGUACUGUCAUGUUCACCUCCGCCUUUCACAGAGGCAUAUUUAGCCCUCAGUUGGUAAGUGAACUUUUUGACAAAGGUUUAAGAGGUCGUAGAGUCUGUGUAAAAGACAAAAGUCCAAAAGUGAAGCAGAAGGAAUCCAGCUUCUUAUUUAUGUCUGGCAUGGGAAGCUUCUGGAUUUGAUAGUGGGUGCACCGAAAUUUGCAUCCCAAGUCAUAGCCUUUGCUCUGCCCUACCUUCUGGUAUGUUGUUUUUCAAGUUACUUAACCUCUCAGGGCUGCAACUUACUUAUUUGAAAAAUGAAUUCUAGAAUCACAGAGUUGGAUACAAUCUUAAGGGCCAAUUAGUCAAACUUUCUUUCCAGAGGUAUUCUGCAUGAUCUGAAAUGUGUCUCUGAACUAUAGCUUCCUGAAAUUUCAUUAUUCUUGUAGGAACACAGAGGAGAACAAAGAAAAUUCAAGGAACUAAAUUCCUUCUCCACCUCAACCACCAGCAUUGAUACUCCAUCACUUAUGUACUGCAUCAAGCCGUCCUCAGAGGUGAGGAAGGUGCUGUCAAGACUAGAAGCAUGUGUCCCUCUCUCCAUUGCAAGAUGGGACAUAGAGAGGAGAAAAGUGGCAGACAGAAGUCUUAGGUAUGUCUUUAUCAGCAGCAUGAAAAUGGACUAAUACAGGGACCAAUGAUUGCAUCUACCUCAUGGACUUUUUAUGAGAAUUGACUGAUUUAAUAAAUGUAAAAGACUUAGAACACUGCCUCAUCUAUUGUAAACAGUCAAUAAAUAUUAGUAUCAAUUUUCAUUGAAUCCUAAUCAGUAUAACUAUAAUGUUACAUUCAUGAAUAAGACAAAGGCUGGGACAAAAUAAAUGAGACACUUCACUCAGGCUAAUCUCAACUGGAAACCAGAAGGCUAGAAAUCUUACUGAUGUGAUGUCCAGGGAUACAGAGCAUAUGAAGGAUGCAGAGAGUGGGUCAAAUGGAAGGAAUGUAGCAAAACAUGUAAACUUGAGUAAGUAUUUGAUCUCUUUGAGCCUAUGUUUUUCAAUAUUUGGAUUCCAACAGCCAGCUCAGUGCUGACAGAGUCAGCAAGUUCUUGUUGAGUGGGAUUGUGUCCAUAAAAUAAUGUAUAUAAAAUAGACAAGCUCUAUAGCUCCUUUCAAUUAUGACCUUCUCUGAUUACUAUUUUGUUGAUUGUCCUCAAAUAUUAUUAAAUAAUCAUGCCCUGACCAUAAUAAAGAAGACUUCAUCAUUGCUGAGGAUGAAUUUCACACCCCAGUCUUUAACUCUAUGCUCUGCUAUCUCUUCCAUCUAAAAAUACAAAAACUGAUUGUUCAGUACCAAAGAGAGGAAAAAAACAGCACAUCUCUCAUUGCAUGGCUCUUCCCGGCCAAGACACUCUGAAUGGAUUACAUCCAUCUGCUGAAAAGCAAUGGCAGUAUCAAGAGUCAGACAGGACUGCAUUCCAAAACUCUACUACCUAUUAGCUGUAAGCAUUGAACAGGAUCUUUCUGGCUGCAGCCGACUGUGAGAGGACCAAGGGUGAAAGCAAAAAGAUCAACUGGGAGACUCCUGAAAUAAUCUUGACAAUGCCUGAGGGUGGCUUAGACCAAAGUAGAAGCAGUGAAGAUAACUGAAAGUUGUUGAAUUGUGGACAGAUUUCAAAGUUCUCUUGAUGACUAUUACGAAGGUAUAUGAAGAGGCAGGUGCCUUGGGAAGCUAGUGAAGCCAAAAUCCCAGAGCUUCUCGCUUGCGUAGACUCCUGUGAGGGCUGGGAAUUUCUGUCAUGGAAUGUUCCAGAUGAGGAGGGGAAGCCCAGCUGCACUCAGGACACACUUCUAUGUAAGCAAUUCUAGUACAUUGUGCAGAAAUAUCUAGAAACAAGGCACCCAAAUCUCCCAGCUUCCAAUAAUUUAUCAGAAUUUUUCUUCUGAUGGUGAGUAUUUACUCUUGUCCCCAAUUUUGUAUUUGUAGUUUUUAAAUUCAUUUUUCUAAAAGGGGCCUGUGUUAUAUACAGUUUUUAUGUGGCAGUUGAUCUUGCCGUCUCACUAAAGUUGGAAAGUCCUUUGGGACUGAGAUUGUGUUUUAUACUUUCUCUGUUUCCCAUGCCUGGGAUACAACUGAGCUCAUGGAGGAAGCCAAGCUAAUGUUCUGGCCUUCAGUUCCCUGCAUGGAUCAAAACUGGUUUGGGAGGUUGUAAAGCUUUUUGGG